GGGCCCAUAGCUCAGCUGGGAGAGCGCUGCGUUCGCAAUGCAGAGGUCGAGAGUUCAAUCCUCUUUGGGUCCA
rnacentral:tRNA from 1 species